UACGUAGGGUGCGAGCGUUGUCCGGAAUUAUUGGGCGUAAAGAGCUCGUAGGCGGCUUGUCGCGUCGGAUGUGAAAGCCCGGGGCUUAACUCCGGGUCUGCAUUCGAUACGGGCAGGCUAGAGUUCGGUAGGGGAGAUCGGAAUUCCUGGUGUAGCGGUGAAAUGCGCAGAUAUCAGGAGGAACACCGGUGGCGAAGGCGGAUCUCUGGGCCGAUACUGACGCUGAGGAGCGAAAGCUAGGGGAGCAAAUGGG
rnacentral:rRNA from 1 species